GACGAACGCUGGCGGCGUGCCUAAUACAUGCAAGUAGAACGCUGAAGCUUGGUGCUUGCACCGAGCGGAUGAGUUGCGAACGGGUGAGUAACGCGUAGGUAACCUGCCUGGUAGCGGGGGAUAACUAUUGGAAACGAUAGCUAAUACCGCAUAAGAGUAGAUGUUGCAUGACAUUUGCUUAAAAGGUGCAAUUGCAUCACUACCAGAUGGACCUGCGUUGUAUUAGCUAGUUGGUGAGGUAACGGCUCACCAAGGCAACGAUACAUAGCCGACCUGAGAGGGUGAUCGGCCACACUGGGACUGAGACACGGCCCAGACUCCUACGGGAGGCAGCAGUAGGGAAUCUUCGGCAAUGGACGGAAGUCUGACCGAGCAACGCCGCGUGAGUGAAGAAGGUUUUCGGAUCGUAAAGCUCUGUUGUAAGAGAAGAACGAGUGUGAGAGUGGAAAGUUCACACUGUGACGGUAUCAUACCAGAAAGGGACGGCUAACUACGUG
rnacentral:rRNA from 1 species